rnacentral:sRNA from 1 species
UCCCUCCUAAAACUUGGCCCAUGGUUGAAGAGGACAACAUUUGUAGAGAGAGGAAGACUUUUCUUUGGUCAUAUAUGUAAGAGCAACUGCCCUCCCUCACUGGAACCUCUGAACAAGCUUUCAAGGUCGAAGAAAAGUGAGACCUUAGA